UACGGAGGGCGCAAGCGUUGUUCGGAAUCAUUGGGCGUAAAGCGCGUGUAGGCGGCUUGGCAAGUCGGGUGUGAAAUCCCGGGGCUCAACCCCGGAACUGCAUUCGAUACUGCCUGGCUAGAGUCCCGGAGAGGAGGGCGGAAUUCCCGGUGUAGAGGUGAAAUUCGUAGAUAUCGGGAGGAACACCAGUGGCGAAGGCGGCCCUCUGGACGGUGACUGACGCUGAGAUGCGAAAGCGUGGGGAGCAAACAGG
rnacentral:rRNA from 1 species